rnacentral:tRNA from 1 species
GCCACUGUAGCUCAGUUGGUAGAGCAGCGGUUUCGUAAACCGCAGGUCGCCAGUUCGAUCCUGGCCGGUGGCU